GGACGAACGCUGGCGGCGUGCUUAACACAUGCAAGUCGAGCGAUGAAGCUUCUCGGAAGUGGAUAGCGGCGACGGGUGAGUAACACGUGGGUAACCUGCCUCAUAGAGGGGAAUAGCCUUCCGAAAGGAAGAUUAAUACCGCAUAAGAUUGUAAUAUCGCAUGAUAUAGCAAUUAAAGGAGUAAUCCGCUAUGAGAUGGACCCGCGUCGCAUUAGCUAGUUGGUGAGGUAACGGCUCACCAAGGCGACGAUGCGUAGCCGACCUGAGAGGGUGAUCGGCCACAUUGGGACUGAGACACGGCCCAGACUCCUACGGGAGGCAGCAGUGGGGAAUAUUGCACAAUGGGGGGAAACCCUGAUGCAGCAAACCGCCGCGUGAGUGAUGACGGUCUUCGGAUUGUAAAGCUCUGUCUUCAGGGACGAUAAUGACGGUACCUGAGGAGGAAGCCACGGCUAACUACGUGCCAGCAGCAGC
rnacentral:rRNA from 1 species